rnacentral:rRNA from 1 species
CGAGCGAACAGACGAGGAGCUUGCUCCUCUGACGUUAGCGGCGGACGGGUGAGUAACACGUGGAUAACCUACCUAUAAGACUGGGAUAACUUCGGGAAACCGGAGCUAAUACCGGAUAACAUGUUGAACCGCAUGGUUCAACAGUGAAAGACGGUCUUGCUGUCACUUAUAGAUGGAUCCGCGCCGCAUUAGCUAGUUGGUAAGGUAACGGCUUACCAAGGCAACGAUGCGUAGCCGACCUGAGAGGGUGAUCGGCCACACUGGAACUGAGACACGGUCCAGACUCCUACGGGAGGCAGCAGUAGGGAAUCUUCCGCAAUGGGCGAAAGCCUGACGGAGCAACGCCGCGUGAGUGAAGAAGGUCUUCGGAUCGUAAAACUCUGUUACUAGGGAAGAACAAAUGUGUAAGUAACUAUGCACGUCUUGACGGUACCUAAUCAGAAAGCCACGGCUAACUACGUGCCAGCAGCCGCGGUAAUACGUAGGUGGCAAGCGUUAUCCGGAAUUAUUGGGCGUAAAGCGCGCGUAGGCGGUUUUUUAAGUCUGAUGUGAAAGCCCACGGCUCAACCGUGGAGGGUCAUUGGAAACUGGAAAACUUGAGUGCAGAAGAGGAAAGUGGAAUUCCAUGUGUAGCGGUGAAAUGCGCAGAGAUAUGGAGGAACACCAGUGGCGAAGGCGACUUUCUGGUCUGUAACUGACGCUGAUGUGCGAAAGCGUGGGG